AAGAGUUGUUGCUGGCCCCCCCCAUACGGGGGCAUGUGCACACUCUGUUCACACAUCCACUCACACCUGUGCACCCUCCGUAGUUCUGUGGCCUGGGUGGGGCUCUGUCCUCCUGCCGUGGUUCUAUGUCUUUACACACACACACUAUAAAAAUGUCUCAUGGAAUGUAUGUCGCGUUUAACGCAAUGAAAUACAACUUUCAGCAACGGAUCUCUUGGCUCUCGCAUCGAUGAAGAACGCAGCGAAAUGCGAUAAGUAAUGUGAAUUGCAGAAUUCAGUGAAUCAUCGAAUCUUUGAACGCACCUUGCGCCCUUUGGCUAUUCCGAAGGGCAUGCCUGUUUGAGUAUCAUGAACACCUCAACUCUCGUGGCUUGCCAUGAUGAGCUUGGACUUUGGGGGUCUUGUUGGCCUGUGUGCCAGCUCCUCUUAAAUGAAUUAGCUUGCCGGUGUUUGGUGGCGCCAUGGGUGUGAUAAAUAUCUACGCUUGUGGUUUCCCACCAGCUAACCUUCAGUGAUGGAGGUUCACUGGAGCUUAUAAACGUCUCUCCUUGGAGAGGACGCAUUUUGACCAUUUGAUCUCAAAUCAGGCAGGACUACCCGCUGAACUUAAGCAUAUCAAUAAGCGGAGGAAAAGAAACUAACAAGGAUUCCCCUAGUAACUGCGAGUGAAGCGGGAAGAGCUCAAAUUUAAAAUCUGGUGUGCCUCUGG
rnacentral:misc_RNA from 1 species